GACGAACGCUGGCGGCGUGCUUAACACAUGCAAGUCGAACGGUAAGGCCCUUCGGGGUACACGAGUGGCGAACGGGUGAGUAACACGUGAGUGAUCUGCCCUGCACUUCGGGAUAAGCCUGGGAAACUGGGUCUAAUACCGGAUAGGACCACUGCCUGCAUGGGUGGUGGCGGAAAGCUUUUGCGGUGUGGGAUGGGCCCGCGGCCUAUCAGCUUGUUGGUGGGGUGAUGGCCUACCAAGGCGACGAGGGGUAGCCGGCCUGAGGGGGUGACCGGCCAGACGGGGACUGAGAUACGGCCCAGACUCCUACGGGGGGCAGCAGUGGGGAAUAUUGCACAAUGGGCGCAAGCCUGAUGCAGCGACGCCGCGUGCGGGAUGACGGCCUUCGGGUUGUAAACCUCUUUCAGCACCGACGAAGCGCAAGUGACGGUAGGUGCAGAAGAAGGACCGGCCAACUACGUGCCAGCCGCCGCGGUAA
rnacentral:rRNA from 1 species